rnacentral:ncRNA from 1 species
GAACGCGCAUUGAACAAGCGAGUACGUGAUUGAACCGGUAUAGAGAGUCAACGAUAGUGAAAAGUUGAUGCGGCGACCUCACCGAAAGUAACUUGUGAGCUUUACCACUGAACGGAGUAGGUGGUGACGGAAACCACCGUUAACCGGGUUAAAGUGGGGAAGUGAUUCCCAAUUUAGGUGGUACCGCGAGUAAUCGUCCUAAUG